UCGUCAUUCUGCCUACUCUCUCAUCGGUCAGAGAGGCGAGAGAGUGUGCGAAAUGAAGAGA
rnacentral:pre_miRNA from 1 species